rnacentral:rRNA from 1 species
CGCGUAGGCGGAUUGGUAAGUCGGAUGUGAAAUUCCAAGGCUCAACCUUGGAGCUGCAUUCGAAACUAUCGAUCUAGAGGAAUGGCGGAGAAAACGGAAUUCCACAAGUAGCGGUGAAAUGCGUAGAUAUGUGGAGGAACACCUGUGGCGAAAGCGGUUUUCUAGCCUAAACCUGACGCUGAGGCGCGAGAGGCAAGGGGAAUCAAACA